rnacentral:rRNA from 1 species
UACUUGACGCAAGUCGAGUAUUUUUACAAACAAUGUGUAAUGAACGUCGUUUUAUUAUAACAAAAUAAAACUUUCAACAACGGAUCUCUUGGCUCUCGCAUCGAUGAAGAACGCAGCGAAUUGCGAUAAGUAAUGUGAAUUGCAGAAUUCAGUGAAUCAUCGAAUCUUUGAACGCAGCUUGCGCUCUCUGGUAUUCCGGAGAGCAUGCCUGUUUCAGUGUCAUGAAAUCUCAACCACUAGGGUUUCCUAAUGGAUUGGAUUUGGGCGUCUGCGAUUUCUGAUCGCUCGCCUUAAAAGAGUUAGCAAGUUUGACAUUAAUGUCUGGUGUAAUAAGUUUCACUGGGUCCAUUGUGUUGAAGCGUGCUUCUAAUCGUCCGCAAGGACAAUUACUUUGACUCUGGCCUGAAAUCAGGUAGGACUACCCGCUGAACUUAAGCAUAUCAAUAAGCGGAGGAAAAGAAACUAACAAGGAUUCCCCUAGUAACGGCGAGUGAAGCGGGAAGAGCUCAAAUUUGAAAUCUGGCAGUCUUCGAUUGUCCGAGUUGUAAUCUAUAGAGGCGUUUUCCGUGCCGGACCGUGUCCAAGUCUCCUGGAAAGGAGUAUCAAAGAGGGUGAUAAUCCCGUACUUAACACGACCACCGGUGCUCUGUGAUACGUCUUCUACGAGUCGAGUUGUUUGGGAAUGCAGCUC